GGGUUGUGAGGUUAAGCGACUAAGCGUACACGGUGGAUGCCCGCAGUCAGAGGCGAUGAAGGACGCUAAUCUGCGAUAAGCGUCGGUGAGGUGAUAUGAACCGUUAUAACCGGCGAUUUCCGAAUGGGGAAACCCAGUGUGUUUCGACACACUAUCAUUAACUGAAUCCAUAGGUUAAUGAGGCGAACCGGGGAACUGAAACAUCUAAGUACCCCGAGGAAAAGAAAUCAACCGAGAUUCCCCAGUAGCGGCGAGCGAACGGGGAGGAGCCCAGAGCCUGAAUCAGUGUGUGUGUUAGUGGAAGCGUCUGAAAGGCGCGCGAUACAGGGUGACAGCCCCGUACACAAAAUGCACAUACUGUGAGCUCGAUGAGUAGGGCGGGACACGUGGUAUCCUGUCUGAAUAUGGGGGACCAUCCUCCAAGGCUAAAUACUCCUGACUGACCGAUAGUGAACCAGUACCGUGAGGGAAAGGCGAAAAGAACCCCGGCGAGGGAGUGAAAAGAACCUGAAACCGUACGUACAAGCAGUGGGAGCCUCUUAAUGGGGUGACUGCGCGUACCUUUGUAUAAUGGGUCAGCGACUUAUAUUCUGUAGCAAGGUUAACCGAAUAGGAGCCGAAGGGAAACCGAGUCUUAACUGGGCGUUAAGUUGCAGGGUAUAGACCGAAACCCGGUGAUCUAGCCAUGGGCAGGUUGAAGGUUGGGUAACACUAACUGGAGGACCGAACCGACUAAUGUUGAAAAAUUAGCGGAUGACUUGUGGCUGGGGUGAAAGGCCAAUCAAACCGGGAGAUAGCUGGUUCUCCCCGAAAGCUAUUUAGGUAGCGCCUCGUGAAUUCAUCUCCGGGGUAGAGCACUGUUUCGGCAAAGGGUCAUCCCGACUUACCAACCCGAUGCAAACUGCGAAUACCGGAGAAUGUUAUCACGGGAGACACACGGCGGGUGCUAACGUCCGUCGUGAAGAGGGAAACAACCCAGACCGCCAGCUAAGGUCCCAAAGUCAUGGUUAAGUGGGAAACGAUGUGGAAGGCCCAGACAGCCGGAUGUUGGCUUGAAGCAGCCAUCAUUUAAAGAAAGCGUAAUAGCUCACUGGUCGAGUCGGCCUGCGCGGAAGAUGUAACGGGCUAAACCAUGCACCGAAGCUGCGGCAGCGACGCUUAUGCGUUGUUGGGUAGGGGAGCGUUCUGUAAGCCUGUGAAGGUGGCCUGUGAGGGUUGCUGGAGGUAUCAGAAGUGCGAAUGCUGACAUAAGUAACGAUAAAGCGGGUGAAAAGCCCGCUCGCCGGAAGACCAAGGGUUCCUGUCCAACGUUAAUCGGGGCAGGGUGAGUCGACCCUAAGGCGAGGCCGAAAGGCGUAGUCGAUGGGAAACAGGUUAAUAUUCCUGUACUUGGUGUUACUGCGAAGGGGACGGAGAAGGCUAUGUUGGCCGGGCGACGGUUGUCCCGGUUUAAGCGUGUAGGCUGGUUUUCGUGCAAAUCCGGAAAAUCAAGGCUGAGGCGUGAUGACGAGGCACUACGGUGCUGAAGCGACAAAUGCCCUGCUUCCGUGAAAGCCUCUAAGCAUCAGGUAACAUUAAAUCGUACCCCAAACCGACACAGGUGGUCAGGUAGAGAAUACCAAGGCGCUUGAGAGAACUCGGGUGAAGGAACUAGGCAAAAUGGUGCCGUAACUUCGGGAGAAGGCACGCUGAUAUGUAGGUGAAGCGACUUGCUCGUGGAGCUGAAAUCAGUCGAAGAUACCAGCUGGCUGCAACUGUUUAUUAAAAACACAGCACUGUGCAAACACGAAAGUGGACGUAUACGGUGUGACGCCUGCCCGGUGCCGGAAGGUUAAUUGAUGGGGUUAGCGGUAACGCGAAGCUCUUGAUCGAAGCCCCGGUAAACGGCGGCCGUAACUAUAACGGUCCUAAGGUAGCGAAAUUCCUUGUCGGGUAAGUUCCGACCUGCACGAAUGGCGUAAUGAUGGCUGUGCUGUCUCCACCCGAGACUCAGUGAAAUUGAACUCGCUGUGAAGAUGCAGUGUACCCGCGGCAAGACGGAAAGACCCCGUGAACCUUUACUAUAGCUUGACACUGAACAUUGAGCCUUGAUGUGUAGGAUAGGUGGGAGGCUUUGAAGUGUGGACGCCAGUCUGCAUGGAGCCGACCUUGAAAUACCACCCUUUAAUGUUUGAUGUUCUAACGUGGGCCCCUUACCGGGGUUGCGGACAGUGUCUGGUGGGUAGUUUGACUGGGGCGGUCUCCUCCUAAAGAGUAACGGAGGAGCACGAAGGUUGGCUAAUCUGGUCGGACAUCAGGAGGUUAGUGCAAUGGCAUAAGCCAGCUUGACUGCGAGCGUGACGGCGCGAGCAGGUGCGAAAGCAGGUCAUAGUGAUCCGGUGGUUCUGAAUGGAAGGGCCAUCGCUCAACGGAUAAAAGGUACUCCGGGGAUAACAGGCUGAUACCGCCCAAGAGUUCAUAUCGACGGCGGUGUUUGGCACCUCGAUGUCGGCUCAUCACAUCCUGGGGCUGAAGUAGGUCCCAAAGGGUAUGGCUGUUCGCCAUUUAAAGUGGUACGCGAGCUGGGUUUAGAACGUCGUGAGACAGUUCGGUCCCUAUCUGCCGUGGGCGCUGGAGAACUGAGGGGGGCUGCUCCUAGUACGAGAGGACCGGAGUGGACGCAUCACUGGUGUUCGGGUUGUCAUGCCAAUGGCACUGCCCGGUAGCUAAAUGCGGAAGAGAUAAGUGCUGAAAGCAUCUAAGCACGAAACUUGCCCCGAGAUGAGUUCUCCCUGACUCCUUGAGAGUCCUGAAGGAACGUUGAAGACGACGACGUUGAUAGGCCGGUGUGUAAGCGCAGCGAUGCGUUGAGCUAACCGGUACUAAUGAACCGUGAGGCUUAACCUUACAACGCCGAAGGUGUUU
rnacentral:rRNA from 1 species